rnacentral:lncRNA from 1 species
UCAUGGUGGGCAUGGGCCAGAAAGACUCGUACGUGGGUGAUGAGGCCCAGAGCAAGAGGGGUAUUCUGACCCUGAAGUACCCUAUUGAGCACGGCAUUGUCACCAACUGGGACGACAUGGAGAAGAUCUGGCACCACACCUUCUACAACGAGCUGCGUGUGGCCCCUGAGGAGCACCCGGUGCUUCUGACCGAGGCCCCCCUGAACCCCAAAGCUAACAGAGAGAAGAUGACGCAGGUAUGCUAGAGCCCGGGCCUCCCCUACCUUGGAGUGUGACGAGUCAUUUUCUGUUCUGCCUCAUUUCCUGACAUUCAAGCAUUUCUUUGGUGUUUCCAGGGUUCUGUUCCUCCUCUCCUGGCAUUUCCUCCCUGAAGCCUCCAGGUUUCUGUUUGUGUUUCUGCUUGUGUUCUGUUCUUUUUUUCUUCACACAUCACAUUUGUGGCAUGCAGCAUGUAGAGUGAGGGUGUGGGUGGCUCUGGGUCCUUGCUACUCACUUACUGAGGUGUUCUUUGUCUCUCUGCAGAUAAUGUUUGAAACCUUCAAUACCCCAGCCAUGUACGUGGCCAUUCAGGCGGUGCUCUCCUUGUAUGCAUCUGGGCGUACCACUGGCAUUGUCAUGGACUCUGGUGACGGGGUCACACACACAGUGCCCAUCUAUGAGGGCUACGCCCUUCCCCACGCCAUCUUGCGUCUGGACCUGGCUGGCCGGGACCUGACAGACUACCUCAUGAAGAUCCUGACUGAAAGGGGCUACAGCUUUAC